AUACGUAGGUGACAAGCGUUAUCCGGAUUUACUGGGUGUAAAGGGCGUGUAGGCGGUUUAGCAAGUCAGAAGUGAAAUUCCCGGGCUUAACUUGGGCGCUGCUUCUGAAACUGCUUUACUUGAGUGCUGGAGAGGAUAGUGGAAUUCCUAGUGUAGCGGUAAAAUGCUCAGAUAUUAGGAAGAAAACCGGUGGCGAAGGCGGCUUACUGGGCUUUUACUGACGCUGAGGCUCGAAAGCGUGGGGAGCAAACAGGAUUAGAUACCCUGGUAUUCCACGCUGUAAACGAUGAAUACUAGGUGUGGGGGGACUGACCCCCUCCGUGCCGCAGUUAACACAAUAAGUAUUCCACCUGGGGAGUACGAUCGCAAGAUUGAAACUUAAAGGAAUUGGCGGGG
rnacentral:rRNA from 1 species